rnacentral:rRNA from 1 species
GACGAACCGAGCGAACGUUGUUCGGAAUCACUGGGCUUAAAGGGCGCGUAGGCGGGUGCUCAAGUCUGUGGUGAAAUCCUCCGGCUCAACCGGAGAACUGCCAUGGAUACUGGGCGUCUCGAGUGUGGUAGGGGUAUGCGGAACUAUCGGUGGAGCGGUGAAAUGCGUUGAUAUCGAUAGGAACUCCGGUGGCGAAGGCGGCAUCCUGGACCGGUAUUGACGCUGAGGCGCGAAAGCCAGGGGAGCAAACGGG